UACGGGGGGGGUAAGCGUUGUUCGGAAUUACUGGGCGUAAAGGGCUCGUAGGUGGCCAACUAAGUCGGCCGUGAAAUCCCUCAGCUUAACUGGGGAACUGCGUCCGAUACUGGAUGGCUCGAGUUUGGGAGAGGGAUGCGGAAUUCCAGGUGUAGCGGUGAAAUGCGUAGAUAUCUGGAGGAACACCGGUGGCGAAGGCGGCAUCCUGGACCAACACUGACACUGAGGAGCGAAAGCCAGGGGAGCAAACGGG
rnacentral:rRNA from 1 species